rnacentral:rRNA from 1 species
UACGUAGGGUGCAAGCGUUAAUCGGAAUUACUGGGCGUAAAGCGUGCGCAGGCGGUUUUGUAAGUCAGAUGUGAAAUCCCCGGGCUUAACCUGGGAACUGCGUUUGAAACUACAAGGCUAGAGUGUGGCAGAGGGGGGUAGAAUUCCACGUGUAGCAGUGAAAUGCGUAGAGAUGAUGGAGGAAUACCGAUGGCGAAGGCAGCCCCCUGGGAUAACACUGACGCUCAUGCACGAAAGCGUGGGGAGCAAACAGG